AGUGAACGCUGGCGGUAGGCCUAACACAUGCAAGUCGAACGGCAGCACAGUAAGAGCUUGCUCUUACGGGUGGCGAGUGGCGGACGGGUGAGGAAUACAUCGGAAUCUACUUUUUCGUGGGGGAUAACGUAGGGAAACUUACGCUAAUACCGCGUACGACCCACGGGUGAAAGCAGUGGAUCUUCGGACCUUGCGCGAUUGAAUGAGCCGAUGUCGGAUUAGCUAGUUGGCGGGGUAAAGGCCCACCAAGGCGACGAUCCGUAGCUGGUCUGAGAGGAUGAUCAGCCACACUGGAACUGAGACACGGUCCAGACUCCUACGGGAGGCAGCAGUGGGGAAUAUUGGACAAUGGGCGCAAGCCUGAUCCAGCCAUACCGCGUGGGUGAAGAAGGCCUUCGGGUUGUAAAGCCCUUUUGUUGGGAAAGAAAAGCAGCAGGUUAAUACCCCGCUGUUCUGACGGUACCCAAAGAAUAAGCACCGGCUAACUUCGUG
rnacentral:rRNA from 1 species